AAAGCUCUCUAUAUUGUUUGCCCUGAGAUCCAGAUGUUUCAAGUUGCUCAAAGCAAUUAUAUCAUUCAUUUCGAUAUUUCCAUUUAUUUCAUUGGCAGCGAGAUUGAGAUGCUUGAGAGACGGAAAAAUCUUGAGCGAUGAAAAGAUGGUGGAAUUGAAGUUAUUAUCAUUCAAAUUGAGUUUCUCUAAAUUCCUCAGUCUACCCAAUGCAGAAAGGAUAUUUAUGUCAUCAAUUCCAUAACCUUCAAACCAAAGUUCUCUUAAAUUGCUUAG
rnacentral:misc_RNA from 1 species